rnacentral:rRNA from 1 species
AGCAGUCGCCACGGGAAUACAGAGGGUGCGAGCGUUAAUCGGAUUUACUGGGCGUAAAGCGUGCGUAGGCGGCUUUUUAAGUCGGAUGUGAAAUCCCUGAGCUUAACUUAGGAAUUGCAUUCGAUACUGGGAAGCUAGAGUAUGGGAGAGGAUGGUAGAAUUCCAGGUGUAGCGGUGAAAUGCGUAGAGAUCUGGAGGAAUACCGAUGGCGAAGGCAGCCAUCUGGCCUAAUACUGACGCUGAGGUACGAAAGCAUGGGGAGCAAACAGGAUUAGAUACCCGAGUAGUCCCUGUCUCUUAUAC